CCGGAUUCAAUAUUAUGGUUGAAUAUUUUCAUUCCGGCAGUUAUGUGCUGUGUCAGUUCCUCAUUACGCUGGUUGAGAAAAGAAUUGGAAAACUGAAAUGAAGAGUACGCUGCAAUGUACAUGAACGAUAAUUGACCAAACCUGUUAAAUAACACAACCAAAGGACCAGAGGGAAAUCGGAUUCGCCCUGAACUUGGAGUCGUUUGAAUAUACUCAUCAAAAGGUCAUUAUCAAGAACUGAAGAAAUAUGAACGAAAACAGUUUGUUAAAUGAAAAAAGUCAUGGCCUGGAAACCGGACUUGAAAUAAGGGAAAAAGAACAUAACAAUUCAGCAGUGUCCAGGGAGGAUCAAAGCAACAGUCCUACACAUGAAGGGUCUACAUCGACAAGGAAUGACAGUCCAGAAAUUCCUCCAACCGGACAGAACUCCAAUCUUUUCUCUAAUGGGCAUAGCGCAGCAAAAUGCAACGAUCCAUCAGUUUCUAAAGAUGCACAGAGCGUCAGUCAUCCACCUGAAGGAGACACCGAGGAAUAUCAUGAUGCACCAAGCCAUUCAAGUAGCAACGUUGAUAAUGGUGAGAAAGAAAAUGGACAAUCAGAUGAAAAUUUGAAUCCAGAUGCCGCUGGUGGCACAAGCUUUCAGAAAGAUUAUGAACCAUCUCUAAAAAUUGUUGAAACCGAUGACUGUCUCAAGUUCAAGUGGAAUGAAGUCCCAGAUGCUACCAAAUACACGAUUGAGAUAAUGAGACCAUCAAUGAAUGAGCCUAUAACAAAAACUGCAGAAAAAUCAGAAUAUGAACUAAAAAACAAUAUAUAUAACUUCAAAAGAGGAGAAACAAUCAUUCUUACUAUAAAAUUCUUUGAUGCAUCUGGGCAGGACAGUAUUAUCGUAAAAAAGUGUCACGUAGUAGCAGGAGGCGACGAUGUUAUCAGUGGAUUACAAGUGAAACUUAAUGAAACGGCUCCUCAUUCUGUCAUUGAUCUGACUUGGACAAAACCUAAGAAUGAUCCUGAAAAAUACAAAAUCACAUUCAUAGAACUAGAUGCAAAUGAAGACGGAAUACCAAGUUAUGCUGAAGAUAUACAGCACACAGCUGUUGAUCUUCAACCAUCUGCAAAAUAUAAAUUUACAGUGGCGGCAGUGUUUUCAGAUGGUCAUGAAGGAUUACCAGUGUCUUCCGAAAUUAUAAACACAGAUAUUCCACCACCUGAACUCUUCAAAGCUGAAAAGGUUCAAGCAGAGAAAGAUCGUGAGAAUCCAUACAGGCAAAUCACAGUGACAUGGAUGAAACCAAAUGUGAAAGUCAAGAUUAAACACUAUGAGGUAUUUUUGAAGUCUGCUGAUGGCAAAAAAACAGAACAACAAGUCAUCAAACCAGCAGACAAAAAAGCUCAUUUCAAAGAUUUGAGGUCAAACACUUCUUAUCGGGCUUAUGUGACAACUGUCGACAAGUUUCUUCACGAAAGCAAAGAAAGUGUCUCAGAGGAAGUCAUGACUGAUCUAGCUCCACGAAUUGAGGGUUUUGAUAUAAAAGAAUCAGGAAAACCUAUUAUAGAAAAAUGCAUCGCUGAUGAAAAGCCAAAUGGGUUAAUGAGCAGAUUUGAAUGGAAGUUGCCAAAUCUUGGAAUAGAGAGAUAUAACUAUAAACCUAUGGAAAUAGUGGCCGUUGCUAAAUUGAGGGGAAAAGAGGAAAAAAUUUUGCAAGUGGAGAAACGUACCGAAGCAGUGCCUAUUCCUUUACAAAGAGGAAAGUUAUAUGAAUUUCAUCUUUCGUGUUCAUACAUUGAUUUGGACAAUCCUACUGACAAACUACAAGCUGUUAAAAAACAAGAUUUGGUUACAGAUGUUGGCAAACCAUCCAUUUUGAAUGUGAAAUGGGAAAAAAAAGAAAAUAAAAGUUAAAUGGGAAGGAGGCAAAGGCGCAUCAAAACAUGCCCUUAAGGUGAUGUGUGGAGGCAAUAUUAGACUGAAUGAGGAACUAACUCCUAAUAAGAGUCGUGCGACCCAUGAUUAUACUUUUGACAUGAAUGACUACUAUGGAAAAACUCUCCACUUUGUUAUUGAAGCAACUGGAGAAGGAAACAAUACCCAAAAAAAUGAAAAAAAUGUUUUAAUAGGUGGGGACUAUGCCGUGAAGGAGGUUGUUGCAGAGAAAGAUAUCCAAAAUCCAAGAAGAAAUAUUAUUGUUUCAUGGCAACCUCCCAAUACUCCCCCUAAAAGCUACAAAAUUAAAGUGCACAAGGUUCAGCAGAAUAUACCAGAGAAACCGAUAUUGGUUAACGAGAUAUGUGCAAUUGAACAAACUCAAACAUCCUAUACGAUUAUUGAACUAAAAACAAGUACAGAAUAUUAUUUUGAAGUCGCCCCAAUCUAUGGCAUCGAAACAUCAGAUGGAAGCGUUUCAAACAAGAUUAAA